rnacentral:rRNA from 1 species
GACGAACGCUGGCGGCGUGCUUAACACAUGCAAGUCGAACGGAAAGGCCCUGCUUUUGUGGGGUGCUCGAGUGGCGAACGGGUGAGUAACACGUGAGUAACCUGCCCUUGACUUUGGGAUAACUUCAGGAAACUGGGGCUCAUACCGGAUAGGAGCUCCUGCUGCAUGGUGGGGGUUGGAAAGUUUCGGCGGUUGGGGAUGGACUCGCGGCUUAUCAGCUUGUUGGUGGGGUAGUGGCUUACCAAGGCUUUGACGGGUAGCCGGCCUGAGAGGGUGACCGGCCACAUUGGGACUGAGAUACGGACCAGAAUCCUACGGGAGGCAGCAGUGGGGAAUAUUGCACAGUGAGCGGAAGCGUGAUGCAACAACGCCGCGUGCGGGAUGACGGCCUUCGGGUUGUAAACCGCUUUCGCCGGUGACGAAGCGUGAGUGACGGUAAUGGGUAAAGAAGCACCGGCUAACUACGUG